AUUGAACGCUGGCGGCAUGCUUUACACAUGCAAGUCGAACGGUAACAUGCCUUCUGGUGCUGACGAGUGUCGUACGGGUGAGUAAUGCAUCGUAACGUACCCAGAGGUUGGGGUUAACGCAUCUAAAGCUGUGCUAAUACCUCAUGUGAUCUGAUGAUGAAAGCGUGGGACCUCGCAUCAAUGUUUGGCCUCUCGCCUUUGUAUCUGCCUAUGUCGGAUUAGCUAGUUGGUUGGGUAAAGUCCUACCAAGGCGACGAUCCUUAGCUGGUCUGAGAGGACGAACAGACACAGUGGAACUGAGAAACGGAAAAGACACCUACGGGAGGAAGCAGUGGGGAAUAUUGGAGAAUGGGCGCAAGCAUGAUACAGCAAUGCCGAGUGAGGGAAGAAGGACUUAGGGUUGUAAACCGAUUUUGGCAGGAAAGAAAAGGAGUCCGCUAAUACCGGGAGAUAAUGACGGUAACUGAAGAAUAAGCACCGGCUAACUACGUG
rnacentral:rRNA from 1 species